rnacentral:rRNA from 1 species
GACGAACGCUGGCGGCGUGCUUAACACAUGCAAGUCGAACGGAAAGGCCCUGCUUGCAGGGUACUCGAGUGGCGAACGGGUGAGUAACACGUGGGUGAUCUGCCCUGCACUUCGGGAUAAGCCUUGGAAACUGGGUCUAAUACCGGAUAGGAGCCAUUUUUAGUGUGAUGGUUGGAAAGUUUUUUCGGUGUAGUAUGAGCUCGCGGCCUAUCAGCUUGUUGGUGGGGUAAUGGCCUACCAAGGCGGCGACGGGUAGCCGGCCUGAGAGGGUGGACGGCCACAUUGGGACUGGGAUACGGCCCAGAAUCCCACGGGAGGCAGCAGGGGGGAAUAUUGCAAAAUGGGCGCAAGCCUGAUGCAGCGAAGCCGCGUGGGGGAUGACGGCCUUCGGGUUGUAAACUCCUUUCGCCAGGGAAGAAGCUUUUUGUGACGGUACCUAGAUAAGAAGCACCGGCUAACUACGUG